GAUCGCUCAGACAGCCAGGAGGUUGGCUUAGAAGCAGCCAUCCUUUAAAGAGUGCGUAAUAGCUCACUGGUCGAGCGAUUUUGCGCCGAAAAUGUAACGGGGCUCAAGUUCACAACCGAAGCUACGGACUUGCAUCGCAAGGUGUGAGUGGUAGGGGAGCAUUCUCUGUGCGGUGAAGGUUGACCGACAAGGACAACUGGAGCGCAGAGAAGAGAUUAUUCAGGCAUAAGUAGCGAUAAACGAUGUGAGAGUCAUCGUCCCCGUAAGCCUAAGGUUUCCUGGCCUAUGUUCGUCAGGUCAGGGUGAGUCGGAUCCUAAGCCGAGGUCGACAGACGUAGGCGAUGGCAAACAGGUCAAUAUUCCUGUACCACCGUAUUGACGUUAUCAGCGAAGGGGGGACGCAGAAGGGUAGGCACCGCCGGGUCCCUGGAAUACCCGGUCCAAGCAGGUAGGCGGGGGUUGUAGGCAAAUCCGCAAUCCCGUUAACGCCGAGAUGUGAUGGGGAGGCCGCAAGGCCAUAAACGGGCUGAUCCCACGCUGCCGAGAAAAGCCUCGUAGCGAGUCAAUAUGAUGUCCGUACCGCAAACCGACACAGGUAGGUGGGUGGAAUACACCAAGGGGCGUGAGAGAACACUCCCUAAGGAACUAUGCAAUUUAGCCCCGUAACUUCGGGAGAAGGGGUGCCACGAGUAGGUAAGUCUGUACAAGGCAAGCUGAACGUGGUUGCAAUAAAGUGGCUCUAGCGACUGUUUACCAAAAACACAGGACUCUGCAAACACGAUAGUGGAUGUAUAGGGUCUGACGCCUGCCCGGUGCUGGAAGGUUAACCGGAGGAGUUAGCCGCAAGGCAAAGCUUUGAAGGGAAGCCCCAGUAAACGGCGGCCGUAACUAUAACGGUCCUAAGGUAGCGAAAUUCCUUGUCGGGUAAGUUCCGACCUGCAUGAAUGGCGUAACGACUGGAGCGCUGUCUCAGGGAGUGACUCAGCGAAUUUGUUGUUCCGGUGAAGAAGCCGGGUGCCCGCAACUAGACGGAAAGACCCUGUGCACCUUUACUACACCUUGACAUUGGGUGUUGGAAGGAUCUGUGUAGGAUAGGUGGGAGGCUGUGAGACUUGGCCGCUAGGUCAGGUGGAGCCGACGUUGAAAUACCACCCUGAUUGUUCUGAUAUUCUAACCUGGCCCUGUGAUCCAGGGCAGAGACAGUGUCUGGCGGGUAGUUUGACUGGGGCGGUCGCCUCCCAAAAGGUAACGGAGGCGCCCAAAGGUUCCCUCAGGCUGGUCGGUAAUCAGCCGUCGAGUGUAAAGGCAGAAGGG
rnacentral:rRNA from 1 species